ensembl:snRNA U4 U4 spliceosomal RNA
AGUUUUGCACAGCGGCAGUAUCAUAACCAAUGAGGUCUAUCUGCGGCAUGAUUGUUGCUAAUUGAAAACUUUUCCCAACACCCCACUGUGACUAUUUGAAAUACAGUCAGCACUGGCAAUUUUUGAUGAUCUCUAAGGAGA